AUCAGAAUGUUAGGAGGAAUGGGAGGAAUGUUGGUUGCUGAUUUUGAUUAAAUAAAAGCUAAUUGCAUGUUGAGAUGUUAAAGUGUAGAAGAUGGCUGGCAAAAGAAGGUGUAAAGAGUGUUUAGUGGAAUGAUGAGUUGUUAGUGGGAUAGUUGGCAUAUGAUGAGUGUUUAGUGGGAUAGUUGGCAUAUGAUGAGUGUUUCCAACACCAUCAAUUUAUUUAAGAGUAAGAUGGAUGUGGAAAUGUGUAGGUGCUAGAUGAAUGUGAUGAAUAAAAUCCUUAUUCUGUA